ensembl:ncRNA C16E9.15 ncRNA
CUGCUUAAUCCGUUAUUAAGACACGUCGAAACUCAAACUAUACAUAGAUGUACAUGCAUAAAAAUUAGACAAAAAAGGAAACGGGUAGUAUGUGAGUGUGUUUUCUCUAUUAAUCCUGUAGAUACGACUUCACACAUCCUUUCCUUUCGCUCCUUCUUCACUGCUCUCCCGCAUUUCCUUUCCGCCCCUCCACAGAGUCCUUCUCGCCCCGUUUCCCUGCCAAACAUUUUCCAACCACUCUACUCUACAUGUUGUGUUCUUCAAGUGCCCGUUUGGUUCAUCGCCUCCCGCCAGUUUCCCACAUUUUUGAGUCCUUUGAGCUUCUCCACGUUGUGAGGUUCCCAAGCAAUCUAAAAGAUUAUCCAAAGUCC